GAUGAACGCUGACAGAAUGCUUAACACAUGCAAGUCUACUUGAAUUUGGGUUUUUUUACUUAGAUUUGGGUGGCGGACGGGUGAGUAACGCGUAAAGAACUUGCCUCACAGCUAGGGACAACAUUUGGAAACGAAUGCUAAUACCUGAUAUUAUGAUUAUAAGGCAUCUUAGAAUUAUGAAAGCUAUAUGCGCUGUGAGAGAGCUUUGCGUCCCAUUAGCUAGUUGGAGAGGUAACGGCUCACCAAGGCGAUGAUGGGUAGCCGGCCUGAGAGGGUGAACGGCCACAAGGGGACUGAGACACGGCCCGUACUCCUACGGGAGGCAGCAGUGGGGAAUAUUGGACGAUGGACCAAGAGUCUGAUCCAGCAAUUCUGUGUGCACGAUGACGUUUUUCGGAAUGUAAAGUGCUUUCAGUUGGAAAGAAAAAAAAUGACGGUACCAACAGAAGAAGUGACGGCUAAAUACGUG
rnacentral:rRNA from 1 species